ACUCUAGCCAUUGAUUUCUGAGGAUUGUACAGAGUUCAUGUAUGUCAAUAAACCUUCACCUACCUACAUCAUAUAUAUAUUGGUAUGUUCGGCCAGAUCUUUGGGGGUUGAGACGAUGGAGUUUGACAGGUUAUCAAUGAGAAUACGUACUGGGCCAAUAUCAAGUUUUGUGAUAAGGAUUAUCGACCUCGAAAUGCGGAAUUGAACGACCAAACUGAGUGUCGAACUUCGUAAGAGCAGGAGCGAUUCUGGCAAAAACGCCACGUGAAUCACUGAGAACCGAAACCGAAGAGAGAAAAGA
rnacentral:sRNA from 2 species